GUUUGGAAAGACUUCCAGCUUCAUCACGGAGUUUCUCUCGGUUUGUGGGCUCAUCUAAAGAUAAGUAACAGGAGCAGAAGAGUCUGGUGGAGCAACAGAAGCACAAAUUUAGCCAUUUGGACUCAGCUCAGCCACUACAGAGAAAACAAUGACUUCAACACAAAAGGACCAACAUGAGGCAAAAAGUCAGCGCUCUCAGGAGGCCGACAAACCUCACAGAAGAAAGG